AGAUCAAGAAAUACCAAAGAGCGACCGUUUUCGUUACCUAGGAUCUAUCUUGCAAAAGAACGGAGAAUUAGAUGGAGAUCUCAACCAUAGAAUACAAGCUGGAUGGAUGAAGUGGAAGAGUGCAUCUGGCGUGUUGUGUGACCGCCGUAUGCCACUGAAGCUCAAGGGAAAAUUUUAUAGGACGGCAAUAAGGCCAGCGAUGCUGUAUGGCACAGAAUGUUGGGCGGUGAAGCAUCAACACAUACACAAAAUGGGUGUAGCGGAGAUGAGGAUGCUUCGUUGGAUGUGUGGGCACACGAGAAAGGAUAAGAUUAAGAAUGAGGAUAUCCGGGGUAAAGUAGGAGUAGCCGAAAUUGAAGGCAAGAUGAGAGAAAAUCGGUUACGGUGGUUUGGACAUGUGCAACGAAGGCCUACUGACGCUCCAAUUAGAAGAUGCGACUAUGGGACAGAGGUUCAGGGCCGAAGGGGUAGAGGAAGACCUAGGAAAACUUUGGAAGAGACUCUCUAAGAAAAGACUUAGAGUACUUGGAUCUAACGAAGGACAUGACACAGGACCGAGCACAAUGGCGUUCUAAGAUUCAUAUAGCCGAUCCCACUCAGUGACUUGGAUUUUCCAAGUCUCCAAUCGAGAAGUUUUCCUCACUCGGGAAAUUAAGGGAACACUACCCCAACCUACAUGCUCCACUCAGAAAGCUUCAACAUACAAGCUUCAACAAAAGAAAAUUCAAAGAACUUAGCGAAGAAGGUUUUGGUGUAUUUAACACAAUACGUUGAAAUGAAGGAAAACUUAUUUAUUGAUAUCCCCGAUAAGCUACAAAUGUGUACAUAUACAUGAGUCAAAAUAAACAAACAAGAGGGAGCCUUCACAAGGGUUGCUUAGGAGAAGUCUCAGCAGUCGGUAGAGCCCCAGAAAGAGAAGGCACCGGAGGGGGAUCAUUCGGAACCUCAGUACUGGACAGAACCCUAGAAGGAGGAGGCAUCAGAGGUUGAUUAUUUGGAGCUUCAUUACGCGGUACAGCCCCAGAAGACGAAGGCAAUAAAUGCCUUUGGAACAAACCCACAAAUCUCUGAUGAUCAAGUAAAACCUGACCAUCAGUUUCCUUCAUCUGGUCAAGCUUCCUCUUCAUGUUUGUAGCAUAGUCAUGUGCGAGCCGGUGCAACUGUUUAUUCUCAUGCUUGAGCCCUCUAAUCUCCUGUUUGAGACUCAUCACCUCAGCCGCCAAUGAUUCAACUUGGCGGGUUCGAGCAAAUAGGCGUUGGGCCAUAUUAGACACAGAACCUGCACACUGAACACUGAGAGCCAGCGAAUCCUUAACAGCUAACUCAUCAGACCGUUUGGAAAGUAGUCUGUUAUCUUUGGGAGUGAGAAGGUUCCUGGCCACCACCGCAGCAGUCAUAUCAUUCUUCAUCACGGAAUCCCCAACGGUAAGAGGACCAGUAGGGGAGACGAAGGAUGGGCGCCAUAUGUUGUCUGGAGAAGGCGGGGCUGCCUCUUCAACAAGGUUCAAGUCAAAACGACGGUCGGAGGGGCCAGACAUUUUCAAAGGUGUUGAAGAGAGAAGAGGUUGGACAAAUCAAGAUUUUAGAAGUGCAAGAAUGGAGCUUCUACUGGUGGAGAUUCAAGUGUGCUUUGGAACUUAAUGCCAGCCCCUAUAAAAAUCUGCACUCGACGGAUCUUCAGAAAUCGAAGAGGCGUUUGCUUUCUCAAAAGCUGGGCUGCUUAGAGACCACGAGGGUUGAUCUCAGAAAUCGAAGAGGCGUUUGCUUUCUCAAAAGUUAGGCUGCUCAAAGACCACGAAGGCCGAUCUCAGAAAUCGAAGAGGCGCUCGCUUUCUCAAAAGCUGGGCUCCUCAGAGACCACGAGGGCCGAUCUCAGAAAUCGAAGAGGCACCUACUUUUCCAGCCUUGUCAGCACCUGUCACACGCACAUUCAGCUUUGCGGAAAUUAUGGGCAUUCUGUCGAAGACUUCUGAGGAAGUAGAAAACACAUGAAUCUUACUGUUCAAUCACCCAUUUUCCACACGCAACACUAGCUCAUGGGUACCACAGAUAACUUUGCCAAAGUUCUCUGCCAAAAUUGAGCACGUAAAGCUUGUAGCUCCCACUACAUCGCUCUGACCAAGAAAGGUAAAAGAAUAGCAAAGAAACAGCACUAACAAAGUUUAGACCCAUAAAUUUUGAAGGUCUAGCUACCAUAUUAUUACCCACAAGGGUAAAGGAACAGUACCACUGCUGGAUAAUUGGAAAGUCCCUGUGUGUCAACCUCUGUGCUUCGUGGCAAGGUAGACUAGUAAACAUGCCCAACCUUUACUCACACUCGAGAAAACACUACCAAUAAGAUUGCUUGCUCCAAAAUCGAAGAGGCACCGUCCUCCGAAUCUCGAGAGCCAGACUCCCAACAUGACUACUUUCUCAAAAAUCGAAGAGAGGGUAAAGGAACAGUACCAUUGCUGGAUAAUUGGAAAAUCCCUGUGUGUCAACCUCUGUGCUUCGUGGCAAGGUAGACUAGCAAACAUGCCCAACCUUUACUCACAUUCGAGAAAACACUCCCAACAAGAUUGCUUGCUCCAAAAUCGAAGAGGCACCGCCCUCCGAAUCUCGAGAGCCAGACUCCCAACAUGAUUACUUUCUCAAAAAUCGAAGUGACACUGCUCCCCGAAUCUCGAGAGCCAGACCCCCAUCAUGAUUGCUUUCUUAAAAAUCGAAGAUGCAUCGUUCUCCGAAUCAAUCGAAGAGACGCUCGCUUUCUCAAAAGCUGGGCUGCUCAGAGACCACGAGGGCCGAUCUCAGAAAUCGAAGAGGCACCUACUUUUCUAGCCUUGUCAGCACCUGUCACACGCACACUCAGCUUUGCGGAAAUUAUGGGCAUUCUGUCGAAGACUUCUCGAGAGCACAGACCACUUUUUCAAAGUGCUCUGACAGAGUUAAAACAUGUGAAGCUGGCAGCUCCCACUACCGUGCUAUGACCAAGCAGGGUAAAGGAAUAGCAUUACUACUUGUUGUUAGGGAGACUCCUAUAUAUGUCGACCUCCAUCCCCAACGGACAGGCAGACCUGCAAAAAUGUUCAACCCUUCCUCAUAUUUGAGAGGGCACUCCCAACGAAGCCUUUCGAAAUAUUCAGCUUUCUUUCCCCCCGAUAAUACCUUUGCAAACAAGCUAUACUAGAGCAAGAAUAUCUCAUAUCAUCAGGGUUAAAAGCAAGAGUAUCCCAUAUCAUGCUUUUUUUCCCUGUCUUUUCCUUUGGCCUUGUUGUUACCUGCAAGACAAGGAGAAAGAGAGCAAUCAGUUAGCACUUGGAAUCAAGCUUCCAGCCAGGAACUGACUGCCUGGAACCCCUUACCUGAUUACUUACCUGGCAUUGCUCUCGAGUACUCAUCUUCAACAUCUUAUGUUUCCAGGGAAGAUACCGCAUCUGCUUGAGGAACAGAUAGGGCAAGUGCGAAGGAUACAAGGAAGCAUGUGGAGACAAGCGUAACAGCACACGUGCCGAUACAUCCAUUACUCUGUCAAAAGCAAAAGUAUCCCAUAUCAGCAGGGUCGAACGUACUCUAGAUUUGAUGGACUUGUUUUGACCCUCAAAUUCUUCAGUCGGCUCUGGAGGAAACCAGAAAACCCUCCAGCUCAGUUCAAGAAUAAGCCUGUGGAAAGUUACUUCUUCAAAAGCAAAAGUAUCCCAUAUCAUCUCUUCUCAUCUUUCUUCUCUUUAUCCUUCAUGCUGCUGCAAGAUGGGGAGAAGGUGAACAAUCAGCCGGAGCUCUGAUUGCUUACCUUGUCUGUCACCUCUUUCAGCAGAUCCCCUAGCUCGGCGACUUGGGAGACUCCUACUACAUGGUUUGUAUCGCGCUUGACCAAGCCUGAAACUACAAGUAAGCUUCAAGUGAAAUUGAUACAUUACCUUGUGCAUCUCCACCAGUUAAAGAUACCACCCCUGGAUGGAGGAAGAGUACUUCCAGAGAAGAUGCUACAUCUACCUAUGAGACAGAUAAGGCAAGUCAAGACGAUACCACACUCCGAUACUUAGAAGUUUCGUGAUUACGAGAUCAUUCUCUCACAAUAUUUCCUAAUGUCAUUUGUACUAAAUCAUUCACUUGUACUCACUAAAGGAGAGCUUGAACCUAUGUACUUGUGUAAACCCUUCACAAUUAAUGAGAACUCUUCUAUUCCGUGGACGUAGCCAAUCUGGGUGAACCACGUACAUCUUGUGUUUGCUUUCCUAUCUCUAUUCAUUUAUAUACUUAUCCACACUAAUGACCGGAGCAAUCUAGCGAAGAUCACAAAAAGCGACCGUUUUUGCUGCCUAGGAUCUAUCUUGCAAGAGAACGGAGAAUUAGAUGGAGAUCUCAACCAUAGAAUACGACCUGGACGGAUGAAGUGUAAGAGUGCAUCCGGCGUGUUAUGUGACCGUCGUAGGCCACUGAAGCUCAAGGGAAAAUUUUAUAGGACGACAAUAAGGCCAACGAUGUUGUAUGGCACAGAAUGUUGGACGGUGAAGCAUCAACACGUACACAAAAUGGGUGUAGCGGAGAUGAGGAUGCUUCGUGGGAUGUGUGGGCACACGAGAAAGGAUAAGAUUGGGCAUGAGGAUAUAUCCGAGGUAGGUAAGUAGGAGUAGCCGAAAUUGAAGGAAAGAUGAGAGAAAAUCGGUUCCGGUGAUUUGGACAUGGGCAAAGAAGGCCGACUGACGCUCCGGUUCGAAGAUGUGACUACGGGACAGAGGUUCAGGGCCGAAGGGGUAGAGGAAGACCUAGGAAAACUUUAGAAGAGACUCUAAGAAAAGACUUAGAGUACUUGGAUCGAACGGAGGACAUGACACAAACCGAGCGCAAUGGCGUUCUAGGAUUCAUAUAGCCGACCCCACUUAGUGGGAAAAGGCUUUGUUGUUGUUGUUGUUGUUGUUGUAGUAAUUAUUUGGUUUUUGUGGCCACUAUGACCCUAGAGAAGCCCUAGGAUACCGGAUACUGGAUACCGGAUUUGUGAUUUGUUAUUUGUUAUUUUAUUUGUGAUUUUAAGAUUAGAUCACUAUACUGGAAUUUUGUAUACUUCAUGUUCAUUCUGAAAGCGUGAUGUAUUGCAUGACGUUUUCUUGAGUUUUAUUUAGGAGUUACCUUGUCCUCUCAAAACCUAUUAAGUGGGUGGGCCAUGUUGGGUUUAUCUUGUCCAAAUAAUAAACAUGCCAAGUUUGAAUUGGAGUUGAGAAGGCUUAUUUGAACCCAUUUAGAAUCUAGAUGUAAUUGAGCGCUCUUAAGUCUUAACUAAUGGGUCAACCAUAAAAAAUCGCUUUCCAAACUAUUUUUUUGUUUAUCCAUUAUUUCUCUAUGGGUUACAUGUGGUCUAAAAUCACUCUUGUAUGAAGUGAUCGAAACAUUAAUCUUGUGUAGUAGACAGUUCACAUGCAUUGCAUUCAAUCUAUUUGUUUUUACCUUAUUGUCUUAGUUUAAGUUUGGCUCUUACGUUGCUUUCAAAUAAAAAAAGUUCGGC
rnacentral:lncRNA from 1 species